rnacentral:rRNA from 1 species
AGUGAACGCUGGCGGUAGGCCUAACACAUGCAAGUCGAACGGCAGCACAGUAAGAGCUUGCUCUUACGGGUGGCGAGUGGCGGACGGGUGAGGAAUACAUCGGAAUCUACUUUUUCGUGGGGGAUAACGUAGGGAAACUUACGCUAAUACCGCAUACGACCUACGGGGGAAAGCAGGGGAUCUUCGGACCUUGCGCGAUUGAAUGAGCCGAUGUCGGAUUAGCUAGUUGGCGGGGUAAAGGCCCACCAAGGCGACGAUCCGUAGCUGGUCUGAGAGGAUGAUCGGCCACACUGGAACUGAGACACGGUCAAGACUCCUACGGGAGGCAGCAGUGGGGAAUAUUGGACAAUGGGCGCAAGCCUGAUCCAGCCAUACCGCGUGGGUGAAGAAGGCCUUCGGGUUGUAAAGCCCUUUUGUUGGGAAAGAAAAGCAGCAGGUUAAUACCCCGCUGUUCUGACGGUACCCAAAGAAUAAGCACCGGCUAACUUCGUG